UGUGCUGAUGAAUUCAUAGACUAGAGUCUCUGAUUUUGAUGUGAUGCUCUUUCACAGUGCACUGAACA